UAUAUUAUUUAUGCCUCUAACUGGAACGUACCUUGAGCAUAUAUGCUGUGACCCGAAAGAUGGUGAACUAUACUUGAUCAGGUUGAAGUCAGGGGAAACCCUGAUGGAAGACCGAAACAGUUCUGACGUGCAAAUCGAUUGUCAGAAUUGAGUAUAGGGGCGAAAGACCAAUCGAACCAUCUAGUAGCUGGUUCCUUCCGAAGUUUCCCUCAGGAUAGCUGGUGCAUUUUAAUAUUAUAUAAAAUAAUCUUAUCUGGUAAAGCGAAUGAUUAGAGGCCUUAGGGUCGAAACGAUCUUAACCUAUUCUCAAACUUUAAAUGGGUAAGAACCUUAACUUUCUUGAUAUGAAGUUCAAGGUUAUGAUAUAAUGUGCCCAGUGGGCCACUUUUGGUAAGCAGAACUGGCGCUGUGGGAUGAACCAAACGUAAUGUUACGGUGCCCAAAUUAACAACUCAUGCAGAUACCAUGAAAGGCGUUGGUUGCUUAAAACAGCAGGACGGUGAUCAUGGAAGUCGAAAUCCGCUAAGGAGUGUGUAACAACUCACCUGCCGAAGCAACUAGC
rnacentral:ncRNA from 1 species